rnacentral:misc_RNA from 1 species
GAUGAAGAACGCAGCGAAAUGCGAUACGUAAUGUGAAUUGCAGAAUUCAGUGAAUCAUCGAGUCUUUGAACGCACAUUGCGCCCCCUGGUAUUCCAUGGGGCAUGCCUGUUCGAGCGUCAUUUGUACCCUCAAGCUUUGCUUGGUGUUGGGUGUUUGUCCCGCGUUGCGCGUGGACUCGCCUUAAAGCGAUUGGCAGCCGGCAUAUUGGCCUUGGAGCGCAGCACAUUUUGCGCUUCUAGUCAUGAAUGUUGGCGUCCAUUAAGCCUAUACAUUUGCUCUUGACCUCGGAUCAGGUAGGGAUACCCGCUGAACUUAAGCAUAUCAAUAAGCGGAGGA